rnacentral:rRNA from 1 species
UUAGUGGCAGACGGGUGAGUAAUGCAUAGGAAUCUACCUAGUAGUAUAGGAUAGCCACUAGAAGUGGUGGGUAAUACUGUAUAAUCCCUGCGGGGGAAAGAUUUAUCGCUACAUGAUGAGCCUAUGUUAGAUUAGCUAGUUGGUGGGGUAAUGGCCUACCAAGGCAGUGAUCUAUAGCUGGUCUGAGAGGAUGAUCAGCCACACUGGAACUGAGACACGGUCCAGACUCCUACGGGAGGCAGCAGUGGGGAAUAUUGGACAAUGGGUUCAAGCCUGAUCCAGCUAUGCCGCGUGAGUGAGGAAGGCCUUAGGGUUGUAAAACUCUUUCAGUAGGGAAGAUAAUGACGGUACCCACAGAAGAAGUCCCGGCAAACUCCGUGCCAGCAGCCGCGGUAAUACGGAGGGGGCAAGCGUUGUUCGGAAUU